CCUACGGGCGGCAGCAGUAGGGAAUAUUGCUCAAUGGGGGAAACCCUGAAGCAGCAACGCCGCGUGGAGGAUGAAGGUUUUCGGAUUGUAAACUCCUUUUGGUAGAGAAGAUAAUGACGGUAUCUAACGAAUAAGCACCGGCUAACUCCGUGCCAGCAUCCGCGGUAAUACGGAGGGUGAGAGCGUUAAUCGGAAUCACUGGGCGUAAAGGGCGCGGAGGCGGGAUAGUAAGUAAGAUGUGAAAGCCUGUGGCUUAACCAUCGUACUGCAUUUGAAACUGUCAUUCUAGAGUGUGGGAGAGGUAGGUGGAAUUCGUGGUGUAGCGGUGAAAUGCGUAGAGAUCAAGAGGAAUACUCAUUGCGAAGGCGACCUGCUAGAACAUAACUGACGCUGAGGCGCGAAAGCGUGGGGAGCGAACAGGAUUAGAUACCCUUGUAGUC
rnacentral:rRNA from 1 species